GAUGAACGCUGGCGGCGUGCCUAAUACAUGCAAGUCGAGCGAACGGACGAGAAGCUUGCUUCUCUGAUGUUAGCGGCGGACGGGUGAGUAACACGUGGAUAACCUACCUAUAAGACUGGGAUAACUUCGGGAAACCGGAGCUAAUACCGGAUAAUAUUUUGAACCGCAUGGUUCAAAAGUGAAAGGCGGUCUUGCUGUCACUUAUAGAUGGAUCCGCGCUGCAUUAGCUAGUUGGUAAGGUAACGGCUUACCAAGGCAACGAUGCAUAGCCGACCUGAGAGGGUGAUCGGCCACACUGGAACUGAGACACGGUCCAGACUCCUACGGGAGGCAGCAGUAGGGAAUCUUCCGCAAUGGGCGAAAGCCUGACGGAGCAACGCCGCGUGAGUGAUGAAGGUCUUCGGAUCGUAAAACUCUGUUAUUAGGGAAGAACAUAUGUGUAAGUAACUGUGCACAUCUUGACGGUACCUAAGCAGAAAGCCACGGCUAACUACGU
rnacentral:rRNA from 1 species